UUACAGAUGAAGAAACUGAAGUUUAUAGAAGUUAAUAACUUGUCCAAGAUCAGGAAGCCAGAAUUUCAUUUCUGCUAGAUUCUGCCAGAUUCUUGUUCUGCAUCUAAAACAUUGUUACCUUGCGGGAGAUGGGCUAUGAGUCGUAAUGGAAUACUUGGCUGGAGGUUCUUUGACAUGGAAUACUUGGGAACCCACGUGGAUGAAGGCCAGAUUGGAGCUGUGUGCCAUGAGGCACCUACUGGACGUAAGCAUUCAUCCCAAGGCAGCGUGCUUCCUGAGGUUCUUGGAGGUUUCUUGAUGAGCCAAGGAGAUGUUUCUGGCAGGACGCAAGGGCCACUCUUGAUCCACUGGCCCUAGCUGCAGGUGAGGCAGGGGAGCCCGCCAGGCCUGGAAGGAAGAGCUCUCACCAGUGACGUCUCACAGAGAAGUUUGCUGCCGCGCACCAGGUUCCCGAUGGUGAUGUGGAAGUAGGUGUUGCCGCUGCUCCAGUUGGAGAUCUUGGUGAAGGGGUGAGUGGUCAGGAUGUCCUAGGGGAGC